UACGAAGGGGGCUAGCGUUGCUCUGAAUCACUGGGCGUAAAGCGCACGUAGGCGGAUUGUUAAGUCAGGGGUGAAAUCCUGGAGCUCAACUCCAGAACUGCCUUUGAUACUGAAGAUCUUGAGUUCGGGAGAGGUGAGUGGAACUGCGAGUGUAGAGGUGAAAUUCGUAGAUAUUCGCAAGAACACCAGUGGCGAAGGCGGCUCACUGGCCCGAUACUGACGCUGAGGCACGAAAGCGUGGGGAGCAAACAGG
rnacentral:rRNA from 1 species